rnacentral:rRNA from 1 species
AUGAACGCUGGCGGCAUGGAUUAGGCAUGCAAGUCGAACGGUAACAGGAACCACCGCAAGGUGGGACGCUGACGAGUGGCGAACGGGUGAGUAACGCGUGAGUAACCUGCCGUAAGGUUGGGGAUAGCCCCGCGAAAGCGGGAUUAAUACCGAAUGUGGCGUUUUACCGCAUGGUAGAAUUGCUAAAGGAGCAAUCCGCCUUACGAUGGACUCGCGUCCUAUUAGCUUGUUGGUGAGGUAACGGCUCACCAAGGCGACGACAGGUAGGUGGUCUGAGAGGAUGGUCACCCACACUGGGACUGAGACACUGCCCAGACUCCUACGGGAGGCUGCAGUCGAGAAUCUUCCGCAAUGGGCGAAAGCCUGACGGAGCGAUGCCGCGUGAGGGAUGAAGGCCUUCGGGUCGUAAACCUCUGUCACCCGGGAUGAAAAAAAUGACAGUACCGGGAGAGGAAGCCACGGCUAACUACGU